AUACAACAUAUCAGCAUUUCUCACCUGGGAGGAAAGGAGAUAGAGCUGAGGAGGGAAGAGAGAAGAGGACAAGAAAAGGUGUAAAUGCACUGCUUAUUUGGUUGAUUUGUUUUAUUGUUAGAAACAUUAUUCUGCUCUUCCAGGUUCUAGGAAUCCAUUCCUUCUUUUAAGCUAAAGAAAGAAGUAGGCAACUUCCAUCAAAGACUGGAGAAGAGGGGAUGCUUCAGCAGUUUGCUGUAACAGCCAGAAGCUCUGGACUGAGCUGACGGAAGGAAGAAAGAAAGAAAAAACCUGCAGGAGAGCACCUCAGACUAUGAAUCUGAACCUCAAAAAUGUGGAUGACUUUCAUGGGAUGCCUUUCUGGACUUGAGCGAGCACAGGGUCUCCAGAAUGGGGAGGAGGUUUAUCAACAGGUGAUGAGGAAAUCUGUGAGUCAUCACUACACUAGACAGAGAAAUGCUGCCAGAAGCAGUGGUCCUCUUAGCUGCUGGCACUGUCAAUCCGACUUUUUUUGGCCCUGUGUCUGUGCCCUGUAUUAAUGUAAUUAACCCCUGGUGUCCUCACAGCUUUUCACAAGUCCUGUUCCUCACUGAACUCCCAUAGGGGUUCUUCUUCCAUUUAUGUUACCUGGAUGAGGCUGGAAACCUAAACUGCUGCUGUGGAUGACAGAAAACUAAUGCUGAUGAUCUUUGUUUACUGAUCAAGUAGUUGAGUUUAUUCCUUCUGUUGGAAGCCCACAGUUAAUUUGGGAUCUGUUAAUUGUCUAUUCUUAAUGACUUAUAUUUUGUCUUCAAUACACCUUGAAAUUGUUAUAUCACCCUCGUUUCUUGUAAGCUGUAUGACUCUGUUUUCACUGAGGUUAUCUGGAGUUUUCUUAAUCAGAAACUCUGAGGAAAUGGUAUUUCCACACCAUCUUCUGAAGCUCUGGGUGUCAAGGCCAGGGAAGCUCUUCUGGCUGUGCUGAGCUCUGAUUGCCUGAUUUUGCUGAACCUGUACAGCCCUGCCAAUCAGAAAAUGAGGAGAUGUGCAGGAGCAUAGCCAGUCUCCUGACUUAAUCCCACCCUGUCCUUAUGCCUGAAAUAUCAGGGACACUGAACAGCAGGGU